UCAUUAAUGAAAUGUCAUCACUUAUUCGUUUGACUAAAUUUAACAUUAGCCACCAAUGAUGUUAUAGUAAAAAGAGGUAGAUAAGUUACUUGAGUUCGUAAAGUGGCGCCGUAAAACUGAGCUAAUUAGCGCACUCAAGUUUAGUCUCGUGAAAGCAUUGGUAACGUUGACUGUGUUUUUUGUUCCGCGAAAUUUCUCUAAAAUGCCGUCCUGUGUUAUGCGACACUGUAGAAACUAUACAAGUAAGACUCCCAAAAGUCUAGGGAUGAUAUGUCAUGCGUUUCCGGCAAAUGAAUUAAGGUGUAACCAAUGGAUAAAUAUUGUACGUAGACAAAGACAUGAAGAGGAUUGGCGGCCAAAUAAUAAUGAACUAAAUGAAAAUAAAAAAAUAAAAUUAUUUGUC